GAUUAACGCCGGCGGCGUGCAUAACACAUGCAAGUCGAACGAUGAAAAUUAGUAGACUUCUUCGGAAAGACACUAAGCGGAUUAGUGGCGAACGGGUGAGUAACGCGUGAGUAACCUGCCUUACACAAGGGGAUAGCCUUUGGAAACGAAGAAUAAUACCCUAUAAAACCAUAAAAGCACAUGCUAGAAUGGUCAAAGUGAUAGCGGUGUAAGAUGGACUUGCGUCUGAUUAGCUAGUUGGUGAGAUAAAAGCUCACCAAGGCAACGAUCAGUAGCCGGCUUGAUAGAGUGUACGGGCACAUUGGUACUGAGACACGGCCCAGACUCCUACGGGAGGCAGCAGUGGGGAAUUUUGCACAAUGGGGGAAACCCUGAUGCAGCGACGCGGCGUGAUUUAGAAGGCCUUCGGGUUGUAAAAAUCUUUUGUAUAGGAAGAAAAUGACAGUACUAUACGAAUAAGGUCCGGCUAAUUACGUG
rnacentral:rRNA from 1 species